GCAGCAGUCCGGUAGCAAUAAAAAUGACCAUCAGCUGAUGAGUGAGCCUCUCCGAUGUAGUCCUGACUGCGCCCAUCGGUGAAGACGAUGCCCACCUUUGUGACUCCAGGGCGGGCACCCUGACCAAGGCUGAAGCUGUUUUCUACCAGAUAACGGAGAGCCUGGCCUGUCAUGGUUCCCCUCUCCAGGAAACUUACCUGCCUGUGUCAUUCGCUGCCCGCCUACUGGAAGAAAACACCCCAGCAAAAGAGUGAGCGGAGUUAUCAGUUGUUGUUUUUUUAAUCACACACCUCUUUUGAUUUAGAACUUAGCACUCUACCUGUGGGUCCUUCUUAUUAAGCAACAACACAGUUAAUCUGGUUUAUCAAGUGAAUCAGAGUGUUUGAGGUCAGGAGUCUUAAUUGAGUGUGCAAAUAAACAGGUGUGAAUCAGGGAGUGAGCAGCGGCAUUAAAAAAAAUAUUUUUAACACAUUCGGUGUGUAGAGGCCUUUAGAUCUUAUUGAAUUAGAGAGAAUGGAGUGGUUUGAAGCAUGUGUAGUAGUUACUAUGCAUUUAAACACUGUACUUUCUACUUGAGUACAAUUACAGAAGAUCCAGUCAGCAGUGAGCAUCUAUGCCAGAUACCUGCAAUUAGGCCAUUAACCAUCCUUAGAACUGGAAAAUUAUGGUACAGCUCCACCAGCACAUUUAAUUUCAUUGGCUGCUGGAUUGUUCAGUGUUAUUUAAUGACCUGUGUACAAAACACAAGGACUGCCUGAUUAUUUAGUAGACAAUAGUAGGUUUAUCUAAAAGCAGAGGGUGUGGAAAAUCUG